CCUGGAAGACCCUUGAGGGCAUUGUAGCAGAGACAAGUGUCCUCCACCAACACUGGACCUUUCACCUUUUCAGCAGCCAAACGGGCUUUUUCCUUGGAGAUCGCGUCUGGUUCUCCUUGCAGCUCAGGUAGAUCAAUCUUCAGAGAUCGCAAGGGAAUGGACUGGCCGAUGAUGGCUCGUACUUCCUCCAGCUUCUUAACGUUGCCGGUGACGAAAGUCACCGGCUGAGUGAUCACCACUUUCUCUGCUUCUGCUGAUGCUGCCAUAUACCUAGUCCCGACUUUUCCUUUUCCUCUUCUUUUUCCUUUUCUUUUCCUCCUACUUUUGUC
rnacentral:misc_RNA from 1 species